CCGGAUGUAGCUCAGCUUGGUAGAGCACUUGCUUUGGGAGCAAGGGGUCGCAUGUUCGAAUCGUGUCAUCCGGA
rnacentral:tRNA from 12 species